GGAGGUUCAAGUCCUCCCAGGCCCACCAAUUUACCUAUCCAUUUGCCUUUAUCUGUUUAUUUGCCGAUUUAUCGGUCCAUUGAAUUUAAGUGUUGGUAGCAGUUUUAUAAUGAUGAGAAAUCAUGCUUAUAAAAGAACUCCUUAUAAAAGGCUUGUUUUUAAAAUGUGACGCUUAUCCAUUUCGCUUAGGCAAGAGAAACUUCAAGCGGUUCAAAUACAAAAGGCUUUAAGUUUUGCAAAACACUUUGAAUUUUAAAGUGAUCCAAGUUCGUGAUCUCGAAUUUAAAAGUUUCGAAUGCUUUAUCCUUUUUUGGGGGC
rnacentral:misc_RNA from 1 species